UUCUGAGCGGUAAACAAUCAAAUUAAACACCAUCAUUGUUCUAAGUGGGCUCUUACUGCUGCUUACACUCUGCUGUUGUCUAAACUCCUGUUUCUGUGCAGUGCUACAGGAGGUCAGACCUCAUCAAGCUGUCCCACUUCUACCUCCACGGCGGGCUCAGGAGUGCGAGCAGAGAGGUAAUGGAAACUGAAAAACACUGAUAAGACCUAUUUGCAUAAGCAACACGGCGCCUGAAUGCAAACUGAGCAGCUCUGUUCAAUUAGAGCGUCCAUCAAAGCUGCUUCUGCUUCAGCCCGAACACGCACACUCUCCUCAUUCUCCUGCAGAAACUACAGCAGACACUCGGAGGAGGAGAGAGAGAGUUCAUCCCACUCCUGAGUUUGAAUGCAGACAGUAUAACGUUCAGGUUUAUAGUAGCUAGCAGUCACAUUUACAGGCACAUAAGAAACCCGAUACAGCGUGACUUUAUUCCGCUAAAUGAUCUGUAAAAUGGAAAGUCAUGGAAAGUGAGCACCGAGCAUCCUUUUUAUAUGUUGAAGGAUUGUUCUCCUUUUACUGUCAGCUUUAAAGCAAAGUGAGGAGAUCGUAAGAAGAACGGGACCUGACCCGCUCCGACCUCAAAGACGGAGGAGGA